GAUGAACGCUGGCGGCGUGCCUAAUACAUGCAAGUCGAGCGAGCGGCGGUCGGGUGAGCAAUGUCUGGGAAACUGCCUGAUGGAGUGGGAUCACUACUGGAAACGGUAGCCAAUACCGCAUCCCAUCAGCUUUGCCCAGAUUGGAUUAGCUAGUGGGUGGGGUAAUGGCUCACCUAGGCGACGAUCCCUAGCUGGUCUGAGAGGAUGACCAGCCACACUGGAACUGAGACACGGUCCAGACUCCUACGGGAGGCAGCAGUGGGGAAUAUUGCACAAUGGGCGCAAGCCUGAUGCAGCCAUGCCGCGUGUGUGAAGAAGGCCUUCGGGUUGUAAAGCACUUUCAGCGGGGAGGCGUUACUAGCAGAAGAAGCACCGGCUAACUCCGUGCCAGCAGCCGCGGUAAUAC
rnacentral:rRNA from 1 species